CUUAUCAAAAAAAAAAUAGGUGUCAAUUUAUUUUUCUAGUUUACAUGUGUCGCUAUGCCUUUGGUUUAUUUGGUUGUAACCAAUGUGAGUUUUAUGCAGGUUAUCUUGUGGACUCAAAUGUUUACAAGGAACAAUUCUAACUACUAGAAGUGUCUAUCUAUCACUUUGAAAGUUAAAGUGUUUAACUAAUCGAUGGUGACAACUUUAAGAGGCUAUCUUUGUAUUGUCAUUGGGAAAAAAAAGAAUCAAUAUGAAUUAGAUAAAGCAUCCAAAUCUUAGUCAAUCUUUUAAAAUAGGCGGAAUACAUACGGAGACACCUAAAGUUGGUACCAUUCUUCAUUUAGACACUUAAACACGGGCUAAUACCUAUUGAACACCUAAACUCCUUUAAAAGUGUACCAAUUAAACACAUUUAGCUGACACAUCCAAAAUAUGAAACGCGUGCAUUUUACACGCGGCCGACCUGGCAAAACAACCAAUGAGACAAUGGCGUGUCAAUUUUUUAUUCCAAAUAAUAAGGAAAAAAGAAGUACGAGGAAAAAGAAGAACAAAAAGCCGUCUUCCUCAACACCCCUCCCCCAAACCAAAUCUCUUUUCUCUCUCCCGAUAUUUUCUUUCAAUUUCUCUGUAAAUUUUUCUUAAAGUCCUUAAAAAUCAGUUGCCUCCGGUGUUAAAAUGGGAUUCUUGAGCAGAAAUUGAGGAAUAUAAUUGAUAUAGAAAAGAUUUUGUACAAUCACAUCUGACCCAAAAGGAAACUCCAUUAAUGGUAAAAAACAAAAUCUGGUGAAGCUCAUAUGCUGUUUGUUACCAAUUAAGGCCCUUCGAUUGCACCCACUAGCGAUGCUUUCCAACUUAGUUGUCCUGAUUUGCUUAUUCUUCGGUUACAUUAAAAAUCUCACCCAAAAUUUUCUGAUUUACCGGUUUAAGCAAGCAUUUCUAUUAUCAUGCAACGAAAAUUGCAGUUGAUUAUGAUGCUGUUGGAGCUGAAUGGAGAUUGGAGAAACCAAAUGAGAUUUUUUGGAAGUUAACUUCUUGGUGGUGAUGUUCUGGUGGAGAAGAUGUGGGCUUGCUGCCAACCGUGAAAGUUUCCGGCAAGGAUGGACGGGUGUCACAACUGGAGCAUGUUUUUAUUAGAGGCAGUAAAGUCAGGUUCAUGAUAAUCCCUGAUAUGCUUAAAAAUGCCCCCAUGUUCAAGCGUCUAGAAGCUAGAAUUAAGGGCAAAGGUACAUCACUUGGUGUUGGACGGGGACGUGCUAUUGCAAUGCGAGCUAAAGCUCAGGCUGCAGGUCGUGGAGCAGCACCUGGUCGGGGUGUUGUGCCCCCUGUAAGAAGAUGAUUGCCCCAUGUUGGAUUUCAUUUGAUCAGGUCUUGAGUUCUUAAAUUCAUUGUAUUGGCAGUAUUAGUGACUUCCGCUCCUGCUCCCUUGUAAUCUAAGAAGUAAGAACCAUUCGAUGUAGAAUUUUUAACUCUGUGGUCUAGAUGUGUCUUGCCCUAGAGAGAGCUGGAAAGUUGAGUGAUCCUCAGAUGGCCGCUAUAAUAUGGAUCGGUCCAGUUACUCAUUGUUCAGUGAUCCAUGAGUGUUUGUUGUACCUCUGUUUAGUGCUGGAUUAUGAUCUUUUGUAGUGUUUUAAAAGCAAAUAGUCUCUUUUGGAUAGAUGGUAAUAUCUUCCAGAAUAUCCUCUACAAUCUCUUAAA